AAUUCUCAACUCUACCAGCUUGCUGACUAGAGAUUGGAUGUGGAGGUUUUGCGGGCUUCUCAGAAGUCGGCUCCUCUUAAAUACAUUAGCGGAAUCAUUGCGUAUCGCUCAUGGUGUGAUAAUUAUCUGCGCCUAGAGUUGAACGUGAACUGCGAUUCAGCUUCUAACCGUCCGCAAGGACAACAUUUGACA
rnacentral:misc_RNA from 1 species